rnacentral:tRNA from 1 species
GUGUGGAUAGCUCAGGGGUAGAGCGAUCGGCCAAACGCCGAUAGGUCGCGGGUUCGAAUCCUGUUCCAUACGCCA